rnacentral:tRNA from 2 species
GUUCUGAUGAAGUUGGUCGUUCGGCUGUUAACCGAAGGGUUGCUAGUUCGAAUCUAGCCCGGGGAGCCA